UUAGUUUAAACAAUAUUUAUUCAGAUAAAUCAACAUUAAACAUAUUAUACAAUGAAAUAAUAUUAGGGAUUCAGAAACAAGCAAUUUGCUUUUACAAAUCUGUCUCCCUUUACAGACAUAAUACACUUAUUGAACAAUACAUAAAUAUAAAUACUGGCAUGCUCUGUAAUAAAUAUAUGAAUAUGAAAAAGGUGAAAAAGGAAGAAAAAAAAAAUUCAUGAGAAAAAUAAAAUAAAAAUAAUAAUAAAUAAACGUGAAUAAUUGUAAUUUAUACAGUGUGAAAUGCUUGGGUUCCUAUUGAGUGAUGAGGCAUUAACAUCAAGGGUUAAAACGUUUACUUUUAAUAAUAUUUUUGCACCAAACUGAAUAAAAUACUAUUUUGCUCAUCUGAGAGUACCGUUGAUCCAAAAAGCAAAGUUUUUGUGUUUACUUGGACAGGAAGAACUGAAAUAGAAUCUAAUAGUUCAUGUCUUAAAUUAAUGUAUAUAGGACAAGAUAACAGAAAGUGAGUAUUUGUUUCUACAUCACCACAACGACAAUUUGGAGAGUCUACUAAAUUACGAACGAAAAGGUGAGAAUUCAAAGAACUUGAAUCCAUUCUUAAGCGAGCAUGAAGAAGAAUUUGACCAAAACGAUGUCCUAUAUAAUAAUACGUUGGGACCUUACUAUUUUGGGUACUAAUUUGUUUUUUGAAUAAUGAUAGAGAUUCACAUUUUCUUAUGUUUAAGUUAAGAGUGUUCCAUAGUUUUGUUGUUGCAGGGAUGAAAUAUUCAGAAUAUAAACGGGUCCGUGUGUUGACUUGGGUAAUAUUAUUUCUUUGUCUUGUAUUAUGAUCAUGCCUACUUCCUACUGAAUCAGGCAAUAAGUCUCUUAAAUACUCUGGAGUUUUAUUAUUCAAAAUUUUGUGAUAAUGAAUUAGUCUAUGAUUGCGUCGUCUUUCAGAUAAUUUUUCCCAUCGAGUUUCAAUAUAUAAAUUGUUUAUACUGGUAAGUUUAGUACCCCCCGUGACGAUACGCGCUGCGUCAAGCUGAAUAUUUUCAAGUUUAGCAAUCAAAUUCUGAUUUUGGGAGUCCCAAACGACAUCGGCAUAUUCGAGAAUUGGGCGAACAAAUGAUAUGUAAACUUUUUCAAGUGAAAAUCUAUCAAGAACAUUUUUCAUUUUUCUCAUUAUAUUUAUUCUUUUGUAAGAUUUAGAAACUAUAUAUUCAAUAUGGUCGUUCCAGGAUCCGUUGUUAGAAAAAAAGACACCUAGAUGUUUGUGUUUGCUAACUGUUUGUAGCUCUUGGGUAUUCAUAUUUAAUGGAGGAUGAAAGGGUCUAUUUACUUUUUUUGAAAUUAUCAUACUUUUAGUUUUUUGGGCAUUAAAAUUCACAAGCCAUUUUUUUGACCAAUUAUAAAUCUUAUCUAGAUCGUCAUUUAAAAUUGUAGCUGUUUCUGUUGGAUUGUCAACCAUAAUAUAUAAUGAAGUGUCAUCUGCGAAUAGCUUAAUUUGAGCUUGAAUGUCUUCUACAAUAUCAUUUAUAAAUAUCAAAAAAAGGAGAGGGCCUAGAAUGGACCCUUGUGGGACGCCUGCAUUAACAGGUAACCAUUCGGAACAUGAACCGUUAAUAACCACCCGCUGGACUCUGUUUGUAAGAUAAUUUUCAAACCACCUUAGUAAAGAACCUGAUAUACCCGCUUGUUGAAGUUUAAAUAGCAGUCCCUUAUGCCAGACUCGAUCAAACGCUUUACUUAUAUCACAGAAUACUACCCUUAUUUCUUUACCGCUAUCUAAAGCCUUCCCAAAAAUCAUUUGAAAUGUUAAUUAAUUGAUUAACCGCUGAAUCCCCCCGUGUAAAGCCUGAUUGAUUUUUCGUUAAAAUAUUAUUACGCAUAAGGUGAUUGUAAACAUGUUUAUAUACACAUCGUUCCAUACACUUUGAAAUUACACUCAACAAGGAAAUAGGUCUAUAGUUUUUAACGUCAUUCGGUUUACUAUUUUUAUAAACUGGGGUAACAUUUGCUCUUUUCCAUUGAUCUGGAAAAGUAGACGUACUUAACGAUAAGUUAAAUAGCUUACAUAGUGGAUACUUCAAAACAGAAGAUGCUUCUUUUAACAAUUUGGGACUUAUUAGGUCUGGGC
rnacentral:lncRNA from 1 species